rnacentral:tRNA from 1 species
GCCCUCGUAGCUUAGUAGGUGGAGCACGCGGCUGUUAACCGCGGGGUCGCAAGUUCGAGUCUUGCCGAGGGCG